CUGACGCGGGUCCCACUAGGCCAUCUUCAUCCUGGACAUGAACUCCUGCACGGGAACGAGUUCUUCACUGUCCCGAUCCAAAUCUCCUCGAAUCAGCUGAUUCAUUGCCCCUCGCGCACUCCCACCUCCAUAUAUAUACUCCCCACGUCCUGCUUGUCCGAUUUUUCGCCAAAAUCACAAUCUCCCGUGCCCUAGAACGGCGCUCCGAUCUCGCUGGAGUUGCGCUAUCGCAGCAUGCUUCCGCCGGGUCGAUUUCGUCUCUACAGAAGAGACGCUCCGGAGUCGAGCAAACAGAGCUCGCCGCGAAAUACACCGCCACCACAGAAGCUCCAACCACUCGCCAUCGCCACCUGAGGGUCUUCCAGUCGUCGUGGACGUCGCCAAACUCGCCGCCGCCGUGCGCCUCUUCCUCUGGUUGGUCCGCUACCACCGAAGAUUCCCUGUAGCCGUCGCCGUCAUCGAGGUCCGAGCCGCCAAGGUCUUCUUCCCCAAAUCCGGCGCCCACUUCCCCUGUUUCUCAGAUUGCCAGGAGUGUGAAGCGGAUCAGAAUUAAUCGUUAGAGUACUUCAGCACCUUUCAAGGCAAGUUUGCACUUUUGAUUUCGCUGAUCCUAUAUUCUGCUAUGCAUGUGUGGUUUGAUGAUAUGAUAUAUGUUUUGCCUGAUAUGUGAAUCCCGUGUUGUCAUGUUUUGGGAUUGUGUUAUGUGAUGGUGUUAUCAACUUGCCAUGGUAAACGUGGGCUUGUGUCGAGUGAUCCAUGAAAGUGGUGAGUGUUUAUAGUCGUAGGCUCAGGAUUAUUAACCAGGUGAAUGCGUCACUGGCAGAGCGCUCUAUUGUCCCUAGAUAAUGCGCCAUUGACAGAGCGCACUUGAGGCGAGGUUUACUUUUCGGAACUUAAAUCAGGUGAAUGCGUCCUUGGCAGAGCGCUAUAUUGUUCCUAGAGAAUGCGCCAUUGACAAAGCACACUUGAGAUACUUCUGAAGUUCUUGUCAUGUUUAUUUAGAAUCUUUGGGUUAUCUUGGGCGAGUAAAUUAGAAACGGUUGUGAGUUCAGGUAGUGGAGGUAGGUGAAGACAUUCUUCUCCAAACUAACUUGUGUGUUUUGUUUGUCAUACGUUGCUUUGUGGAUGUAGGUUUGCUAUAUCAUAUUGUGUGAUUUGCCAAUACAUUCAAUGUAUUGACCCUUUGUGGCUGCAACUUAUCAUGUUGCAGGAUUUUUAGAUGAUCAGUGAGAUACAGUAGGGUCGCGAGUCUUCACUCAGCAUUUUCGCCAGUGGGCAUUGAUGGGAUCCAUCGUUUGCUUAUGCUAAAUUUCCGCUGUUAUUAUUGAAUAAAGUUAGCUAUGUGCUAUGAGAUUGUAAUACUUUAUG